CUUAAGUUUGUUUUCCCCAGAGAUCUUUUUUCCUGGAGUUCACCAUCCUAGGGUCACUUUGCCUUUUGCAUAGCUGUGAUCCUGGCAUUCUUGCCGUUCUAACGGUCUUGGUCUUUUCUGUUUCUUAUAUCCCCCGUCUUCUUGGUUUACACAUUCAUUUGGCUAGAGUACAACCUCUAUUAGCUUCCUGAGGAAGGGUGCUUAGGAGGUACAUUUUUGGAGUUUUUGCAUGUCUGUAAGUCUCUUUUCCGUAUCAACAUAUGACUGAUAAAUUUUCUAGAUUUAAAAUCCUGGGUUUAAAAUCAUUUGGUUUUAUAAAUUUGAAGACACGAUUUCAUUGUCAACUGACUGCCAGUGUUGUGUAAGUUAAGUCUUGAUCCUUUGUAGAUAAUUCAUUGACCC
rnacentral:lncRNA from 1 species